UCUCCCGUGAGGGAGCAGUCUCGCCUGGUCCGGAGACAACAGGCAACGGGGGUUGCGUUCGUUACCCCACUGAAGGGAACAGUUCAAACCACGAACUGACGACGACCAUGCAUCACCUGUGCUACACCCUCGAAGGCUCCCCAUCUUUCGAUAGGGAUGCAGUAGCAUUUCUAACCUUGGUAAGGUUCUUCGUUUGCUUACGAAUUGAGCCACAUAAUCCACUGCUUGUGCGAGUCCCCGUCUAUUCCUUUGAGUUUUAAUCUUGCGAUCGUACUACCCAGGCGGCUCGCUUACCGCGUUAGCUUAGUCUCACAGAGGGUCGAUACUCCGUAAAACGAGCGAGCAACGUUGAGGGCCAGGACUAC
rnacentral:misc_RNA from 1 species